UGGGAUGUAGAUCAAUUGGCAGAUCGUCGGCCUCUGACUCCGAAGGUUCCACGUUCGAUCCGUGGCAUCCCAGUGGAGAGUAGUGUAACGGUUAGCACAACGGCCUUUGACUCCGUUAAUGGUAGGUUCGAUUCCUCCUUCUCCAG
rnacentral:tRNA from 1 species